rnacentral:rRNA from 1 species
UACGUAGGGGGCAAGCGUUGUCCGGAUUCAUUGGGCGUAAAGAGCGUGUAGGCGGCCAGGUAGGUCGGUUGUGAAAACUGGAGGCUCAACCUUCAGAGGUCGACCGAAACCAUCUGGCUAGAGUCCGGGAGAGGAGAGUGGAAUUCCUGGUGUAGCGGUGAAAUGCGUAGAGAUUAGGAAGAACACCAGUGGCGAAGGCGACUUACUGGACUGUAACUGACGCUGAGGCAUGAAAGCGUGGGGAGCAAACAGG